rnacentral:rRNA from 1 species
GAUGAACGCUAGCUACAGGCUUAACACAUGCAAGUCGAGGGGCAGCAUGGUCUUAGCUUGCUAAGGCCGAUGGCGACCGGCGCACGGGUGAGUAACACGUAUCCAACCUGCCGUCUACUCUUGGACAGCCUUCUGAAAGGAAGAUUAAUACAAGAUGUUAUCAUGAGUAAGCAUUUUCGCAUGAUUAAAGGUUUACCGGUGUAAGAUGGGGAUGCGUUCCAUUAGAUAGUAGGCGGGGUAACGGCCCACCUAGUCUUCGAUGGAUAGGGGUUCUGAGAGGAAGGUCCCCCACAUUGGAACUGAGACACGGUCCAA